GUUUGAUCCUGGCUCAGGACGAACGCUGGCGGCGCGCCUAACACAUGCAAGUCGAACGAGAGAGAGGGAGCUUGCUUCCUCAAUCGAGUGGCGAACGGGUGAGUAACGCGUGAGGAACCUGCCUCAAAGAGGGGGACAACAGUUGGAAACGGCUGCUAAUACCGCAUAAGCCCACAGCUCGGCAUCGAGCAGAGGGAAAAGGAGCAAUCCGCUAUGAGAUGGCCUCGCGUCCGAUUAGCUAGUUGGUGAGGUAAUGGCCCACCAAGGCGACGAUCGGUAGCCGGACUGAGAGGUUGAACGGCCACAUUGGGACUGAGACACGGCCCAGACUCCUACGGGAGGCAGCAGUGGGGAAUAUUGCACAAUGGGGGAAACCCUGAUGCAGCGACGCCGCGUGGAGGAAGAAGGUCUUCGGAUUGUAAACUCCUGUUGUUGAGGAAGAUAAUGACGGUACUCAACAAGGAAGUGACGGCUAACUACGUGCCAGCAGCCGCGGUAAAACGUAGGUCACAAGCGUUGUCCGGAAUUACUGGGUGUAAAGGGAGCGCAGGCGGGAAGACAAGUUGGAAGUGAAAUCUAUGGGCUCAACCCAUAAACUGCUUCAAAA
rnacentral:rRNA from 1 species